UUUGAAACUUCUAUGAAUGUUUGUUUAUUUCAUGCUUUCUUGUUCCCUAUGUGUGCCUUUCUCUGCAAUAUGUCCACGAAGAUUUAUUGGGUGAGGGAGGUAUGGGUUUUUAGGGCCGGUUUCUAGGGAGGUGGUCUGUUGUCAGUGCCUUCGCAGGGUGGGCACAUUAUAUGGGGGAAGAGAGGAGAGGGGGUUGGUUGCAGAGAGUGGUGCGUAAUUUGGGGUAGAUAAGGGAGGGGCUUGGUUGCAGAGAGAAUUAGGGGGACAGAAAGAGAGUUGAUUGGGUGCACGGUUUGAGGGUAGGGUUGAGAGAAUGAGUGUGUUGGCUGCAGAGAGAGGGUAGGGUUGAAGAAAAUUUGAUGAUUGUUUAAGCACAAACUGGCCGCAUUGAUGAUUCUUCGUAAAAUUUCGCAACUUUGGUGAAAUACUCAUGAUUCCUGUUUGUGUGUAUUUAUCAACUUUUGACUGUUUUUUGUUGAAAUCAUGAUGUUGAGCUUACAUAAAUAGUUAAAUUAAGAGACCAAUGUUGGACUGUUAGUUCAAAAUGUGUUUUGUUUUAAUUUUAAUCUUUAGCAUACGAAGAUAUACAACGGCUCAUGUUAUUUGGUUCAACAAUUGGAUUGUUAUUAAGAGUAUACUAUGUUUUUCUAAUUUUUGUUUUUGGACAUUCAGCGUUUGAAUUUAAUGUAAGGAAAAUGAUUUGCAAAAUGCCCUUUGGGUCUAUGUAUCAGUUAGUUCUUCUCUGUCUUUAUAAGGUUGAUUACUUUCAUACUAACUCUCUGUGGAAUUGUGUAAUUGAACUGUAAGUCUAACUACAUUUUUUGUGGGGGAUAGACAGCCAUUAUACUAUAAAUUUUGUGAAGUAAUAGGUAACCAAACAUUAGAAAGACUCGAAAACUGGUGCAGUGGGAAAAAGAGUGCCUCUUUCAAGAGAUGCAAUUUGUUAAUUUGAAAAUUAGAUUGGUCAAAGUUGCACGCCAAUGGCCUUAUUCCUAAGUUUCUUGCUUUCUCUGCAAGCAAGGGCUUCUCUACAAAGACGUCCAUAAUUGUUUUAACUUUUUAGUUUUUAUUAGGCACUUAUAUGGUUAUGCCUGUGUUCUCUACCUCCUCCUCUGACUCUUUUUUCUUUUUCUUAUUCUUCUCUUUGUGCAACUUCCAAAUAUGGUGGAAUCGGUGGAGCUCCCCACUCGCCUAGGCAUCUUUCCUUUAUGAAACAAGGUCCUUCUACCCUGCACCAUCUUCGAAUUCAUUGCACUUCACCCGGCAGUGUCAAAUUGGUGGAGCAUGAGUUAUGGCAGCGGGAAGAGAAGGGGUUAAUUGGUAUUCUUCCUGUUCAAGGUGUUGCCGAGGCAGCAACAGUGGACUCUGUGUUGUCUCAAGGAAUGGGAAGUGAUUCUGGUGAAUGAAGCUCUGGAGUUCAAGUUUGUACAUCUGAUUCUCACAGGCUAGAUGGAUGGGGAAAAUCAACAGGAGCUUAUUCACUGUCAUACAAGGUAUACUUGAAUCAAAAUCUAUUUUGUUAUGGAUUGGAAAGUGUAUCUAUUUUAUGGGGCCACAACUUAACUUACAGAUAACGCAGUGGUCCAUCUAAUCAUGUCAUGUGUUGUGACUGUUUUUAUUUCAAUCAGUUCUUUUAACUCGUGAAUAAGCUAUGCUGAGUUGAAUGUAUAUAAAAGCCAAGUUGCUUAUCUUAUUGACCUCA